rnacentral:lncRNA from 1 species
CUACAACAAGGCUGUUGAAGUCAGCUGCAACACAUUUGGAGAAGCACACGAAAAGCAGUCAGGAUGGAUUUGUCAGCAGCUGUAGGUGACGAAGAGGUGAAGAAGGAGGAAGCACAGAAGGAUGAGCUCAACUUCCCCUGGAACAAAAACAAGGAUAAGAAGGGGGACAAGGACAAGGACAAGGACAAGUCUCACAGUAAAGACAAGUCUGACAGCAAAGACAAAGACAAAGAAAAGUCCAAGGAUAAGUCCAAGGAGGGUAAAGAUGGUGACAAAAAGAAGAAGGAUAAGAAGGAUAAGAAGGAGAAGAAGGAGAAGAAGGGAAAGAAGGGUGGAGGUUCCUCGUCUUCCGGCAGUGAUGAGGACUGAUGCUUCCUGUAGGACCGGACUGUUAGUCUCUUUAUAAUUGUGUCUAAUAACAUAAGGGACAGUGUGUUUAUAUAUGUGUGUGUGUGUGUACUGAAUUGUCCUUACAGUGAAACAUACUGGUCCUGGGUAAACAAAUCUGAUAAUUCCUACAGGUAGAUGUCCUGACAACAAACAAAUGCAUCCAAUCAGUGUUUCUGUUUAGUUGGGGAUGUUUUCACCACAAGAUGGCAGUGUUUUCUACUGUUUAGGUCAAAUAAAGUUUGAAACUGAAGAUGGAAGUUUUAUUUU